rnacentral:lncRNA from 1 species
GGGUGGGAUGACAAUGGAGUAAAAAUUUUAGGGGGAAAGUGGGAGGGAGUAAAAAUUUUGGGGAAAAAUAAAAAGUUUUGAGGGUUUUUGGGAGUAAAAUUUUGAGGAAAAGUAAAUGGGAGAGUAAAAUUUUGGUGGGAAAUGGAUUUUGGUAGAUGGAAGGGUUAGGGUGGGAGGGGAGUAAAAGUUUUGGGGGGGAAUGGGAAGGAGUAAAAGUUUUGAGGGAAAAAUAAAAAGGUUUCGGAGGUUGGGGUAAAAACGUAAAAUAUUGUAGUUUGAUAUUUGAGCUAUUCGAAUUUGAAAACUCAACUCGAUUCGAACUUGAAAUUCGAAAAGAAAUUCGAGUUGACUCGAAUAACUCGAUUCGUUUAACUCGAAAUUUUAUUUUUUUUAUUUUUUCGAGUCGAAUCG